rnacentral:lncRNA from 1 species
AUGAACUUCCUGAAACCCUCAUAGGACAAAAUGUUGCAGAACAGUGUAUCUUCCACGUGUUCCAUAUGUGGAAGAGGCUUUAAUUACAUACAGCGAGGACAAUCUACUGGGAGAAGGGACAUUUGGCAAGGUAUAUAGAGGUUCUUUUCAUGGUACUCCAGCAGCUGUUAAAAGGAUCGUGUGUGGCCAACAAGGGAUGGAGGACAGCGACAUUCAUCAUGAGAUAAAUGUUUCACUGUAAGAACUUUGACACACUUAUUUUUGUUUCAUUUUCAAAAUCGAUUGUUCCUCAAGCUGUAAUGCCUCUAUUUUUUUUUUUUUUUUAUUAGGAGACUGUCUCACCCAACAUCGUCAGACUAAUGGCAGUUGCCCGCACUGAGUCCUGCUUUUGUUGGCAGCUGAAUACAUUCAUGGCGCAACCCUGCAGCAAGUGCUUCACACAGACAGCUGCUUGGUGAAGGUCCCAUUAUAUAUUGUCUUGAUAGCUUGAAGGGGAUGAUGCCGGUUUCAUAUCACUGGACUUAUCCAUGGCAGUAGAGUACAUCCAUGCACAGAGAAUCAUUCACCAGGAUAUAAAGCCAGCAAAUGUCAUGGUUCACCACCCUUCUAAGAAGGCAGUCCUGACAGACUGGGGCAUGGCAAACAUAAGAGACACUGUGAUGCUUCGUCAAGGGAGUAAGUUCACUGCCCAGGUUAUUGGUCCAGCUGGUGGCACAUAUCUUUACAUGGCUCCUGAAUGCAUACUGAUGUUUGAAGAGGCCUCGUUCCAGACAGACAUGUGGUCCCUCGGAGCCACAUAUCUGGAGAUCCUGACGGGUCCGCUCCGUGGACUGUUAAAAAACAAAGAGAACUGGCUGCACUAAUGGCCACCAAAACCCACCACAUGCCCUAUCACAUCUCAGUGACAAACACAGUUUUCUUGGUGGUUUGGUGAGCUAUGACCCAGACUCAAGGCCUUCCGCAUCUGAUGUUGUUAAGUUUCUCAAGUCAGGCCUUGAUCUUACAAGCCGAUAUGGCUACAAGUGGUAAUGUUGCUACAGUCUGCAGUUCAAAAGUCUUUCAAUGUUAAUUAUGUUAUACAUUAGGGUUAACAAAAGUUGUGUUAAAUGAAACACUGAAUCAUUAUGAAAGAUGGCACCUUGUCAAUUGUUUUUCAACAUUUUAUUGUACAUUUUGUUGGUCAGACAGUUUUCAAAUUACCUGUUGAUUGUAAACAAGGAUAAAUAAAUGUUAACAAACAAUGUUGUAUGAUUUUAUUGGUCAUUGGAAAUGUUUACUGGUGCACCUUCCAUCCUCUGUCUCUUCAGAAAGAUGUAUAUGUCAUUUGCCUCUGCAAACGUAGAAGGUGUAGGAACUGCAUUUCUGUUCAUGGCAGUUGUCAGCUCUUGGACUAGCAUGAGGUAUGCAGCAAGGCAACCAUCAGGUGUGCAGGGAAAUUGGCUGUUUUCUAAAAUGUUCUGGCACAUGUCUCUGAAUUCCUGGUUUGCUACCAGUGAAGGCUCUUCCACCUCACAGAUUAAUUGCUUGGCGUAGUCUAAAAGGUCUGGUCAACUAUGUGCAGCACAUUGCCAUAUCCUGCGAAUGAAAGACAAUAUUGAAAAGAUGUUCACUUUGGAAUGUUAAAAAUAAAUGAAUAAUCAUAAAGCUGUUCUACAACCUGUAUAAUAAGCAGUCAGUUUUACAGAUGUUAUUGCAGAAACUGAAAGAUGUAAAUAUCACUCAAACAUUUUGAUUAAUUUUUAGUUAAAGGUGCCAAUAUGAAGCCAUAUUUGUAUUGACAGUAGAAAUUCAGAAAUCUCAGAUUGUACCAGAAGUAAGCUUCUUAGGAAGACAAAUAAAAGAAAGCACAUUAUAACAGUUUUACGCUCAUUACACUGGAUUCCAGUAUAUUUUAGAAAAAUCAUUUUAAAAUUUUAGUAAUGACUUUCAAAGCUCCGAAUCGUGAAGCUCCUGCCUACAUUUCUGAUCUUAUAGAACCCCACACUCCCUCUCCCAGCCUGUGAUCAUCUAAUCAAUGGCUGUUAGUAGUCCCACCAGAAGACCAGAGGCAAUAGAUCUUGCAGAACGGUGGCUCCCAGGUCAUGAAAUGCUCUGCCCUACAUCAUUAUGUUCCUUGAUUGUAUUUAUUCUGUAUGUUCGAUUGUGCUGUUAUGUCUGUUUUAUAUUAUUGUGAAGCCACUUUGUGGUUUUUAUCCUGUGAAGAGUGCUAUAUUAAAGUAAAAGUAAACUAAUGAAAGUUAAAAGAAAAAAAGAAAAAAAACCCACAGACUUUCAAAUGACAUACCAGGAGGUGGUGAGGUAAACAGAAGGUCGGGUUUCCCAAAUGGACCUGGUGCAUUGCGUUGCUUGCGGAUGUCAUGGGUGUUCCAAACUGUUUGCUCCGUUUUUAAGUCUCUUUGAAGCAGUGGCAAGUGUGAGUACUGCAAGCAGUUGCUAUGAAAAAGGAUAAUUAAAAAGUUAAUAUGUUCAUCUGCUUCUUUGAGGAAGAAUAUGUAAAAGCUAAUUUUUAAUCAGUACUCAAAAAACAAAGGCAUUCCUAGACCACAUACUUUCAUACUGCUGCUUGAUCAUUUUUCAUGUCUAAAAAUAUUGACUUACAUGUGCACAGGAUUGUCCAGUUCAAGGAUCCCAGACUCCAUCAUGGCCUAAGCAUGUGGUUUUGAAAAAGACAUAAGUUGUGAAGGUGAGCAUUUCAUCAGUGAAAAGGUACAGAUGUACAAAAAAAAAAAAAAUUCCAGCAUAGUGUUUUCAGAUAAACUAAUCCAUCGUAUGUUUAGCGCAAUUUUGAUGGCUAGUCUUUGUUAUUAGGUUUUACAGGUGAAAGAUUUGCUUUACCUCAAAUGUUGUCAGCCAUUUCUUAAUCCAUGUCCGCUUUAAAAUACUGUUAAAACAUUCAGCUCUCUAAACAACAUAAACAUGACAUUAUCAGUUUUGUUGUCAGGUUGUUACUUUAGAAAUAGUCAUUUACCAGCUUAAAGACAUACCUGGUUGUGCACUGAUGUCCCCAUUCUGAAGCACCUCCAUGCCUGAUUCCCAAGAUCUCGCAUGUGAAAUGCCAUCUGCAUUUGACCAACAACAAGGUUCUCCUUUCCUCUGUCCCCCGAAUCAUUUGAGGACAGCCUAAAGACACAAACUGAAGAUAAUUAGUGAAUGAUGAAAAAAUAAAUUUAUAACCAAAAUGUAA